rnacentral:rRNA from 1 species
AGCCUAGUAGAGUGCCAAACGGGUGAGUACCGCGUGGGUACCGUACCCUGAUCCUGGGAAUAACCCUCGGAAACGAGGGCUACUACCGAAUGUGGCGAACGACCGGUUGGUCGCUCGCUAAAGGUGGCCUCUUCUAUGCUGCCGGGUUGGGAUCGGCCCGCGUCCCAUUAGCUAGUUGGUGAGGUAACCGGGUCACCAAUGCCACGAUUGGGUAGCCGGCCUGAGAUGGUGUACGGCCACACUGGCACUGAGACAAGGGCCAGUCCCCUAUGGGAGGCGCAUGCGGGAAUAGUUCACCAAUGGGCGAAAGCCUGAUGACGCCGACGCCGCGUGAGCGACGAAGACCUUCGGGUUGUAAAAGCUCUGUCAGGAGGGAAGAAUGCUCUACGGGUUAAUAGCCCGUGGAAUUGCACGGUACCUCCAAGAGGAAGCCCCGGCUAAAUACGUGCCAGCAGCCGAGGUAAUACGUAUGGGGCAAGCGUUGUCCGGAUUUACUGGGCGUAAAGGGCGCGUAGGCGGUUUGUUAAGUCGAAGGUGAAAUCCUCGGGCUCAACUCGAGAAUUGCUUUCGAUAUUGGCAAACUAAAGUGGCGGAGAGGAAAGCGGAACUCUUGGUGUAACGCUGGAAUGUGUAGAUAUCAAGAGGAACACCGGUGGCGAAGNCGGCUUUCUGGACGCACACUGACGCUCAGGCGCGAAAGCGUGGGUAGCAAACAGGAUUAGAUACCGUGGUAGUCCACGCCAUAANCGAUGGGUACUAGGUGUCGGGGGUAUCGACCCAUCCGGUGCCGCAGUUAACGCACUAAGUACACCGCCUGGGGAUUAUGGUCGCGAGGCUGAAACUCAAAGGAAUGACAGGGCACCCGCACAAGCGGUGGAGCAUGUGGUUUAAUUCGACGCAACGCGAAGAACCUUACCUGGGCUUGACAUGCUUGGGACAGCGCUGGAAACAGCGUCUCUCAUUCGGGAGCCAUUGCACAGGUGCUGCAUGGCUGUCGUCAGCUCGUGUCGUGAGAUGUUGGGUUAAGUCCCGCAACGAGCGCAACCCUCGUUACUAGUGCACAUCAGUUCGGCUGGGCACUCUAGUGAGACUGCCGGUGAUAACCGGAGGGAAGGUGAGGAUGAUGUCAAGUCAUCAUG